rnacentral:lncRNA from 1 species
UGUUGUCACCACCUGUGUCAUCCCCCAUGGUCCCAUUGUUGGCACCGCCUGUGUCGUCCCCCCCAGUCCCAUUGUUGUCAUUGCCUAUUGUCACCACCUGUGUCAUCCUCUGUGGUCCCCCUGUUGUCACCGCCUGUUGUCACCGCCUGUUGUCACCGCCUGUGUCAUCCCCUGCAGUCCCAUUGUUGUCACUGCCUGUUGGCACCGCCUGUGUCGUCCCCCGCGGUCCCCUUGUUGUCACCGCCUGUUGUCACCACCUGUGUCAUCCCCCAUGGUCCCCUUGUUGGCACCGCCUGUUGUCACUGCCUGUGUCGCCCCCUGUU